AGAGUUUGAUCCUGGCUCAGGAUGAACGCUAGCGACAGGCUUAACACAUGCAAGUCGAGGGGCAGCGAGGGAGUGGCAACACUUCUGUCGGCGACCGGCGCACGGGUGAGUAACGCGUAUGCAACCUGCCCUUCACAGGGGGAUAACCGGGAGAAAUUCCGACUAAUACCGCAUACGUCCUCCGGGGGCAUCCCCGGGGGAUGAAAGAAUUAUCGGUGAAGGAUGGGCAUGCGUGAUAUUAGGUAGUUGGCGGGGCAACGGCCCACCAAGCCCACGAUAUCUAGGGGUUCUGAGAGGAAGGUCCCCCACAUUGGUACUGAGACACGGACCAAACUCCUACGGGAGGCAGCAGUGAGGAAUAUUGGUCAAUGGCCGAGAGGCUGAACCAGCCAAGUCGCGUGAAGGAAGAAGGAUCUAUGGUUUGUAAACUUCUUUUAUAGGGGAAUAAAGUGUGGGACGUGUCCCAUUUUGUAUGUACCCUAUGAAUAAGCAUCGGCUAACUCCGUGCCAGCAGCCGCGGUAAUACGGAGGAUGCGAGCGUUAUCCGGAUUUAUUGGGUUUAAAGGGAGCGCAGGCUGCGAGGCAAGUCAGCGGUCAAAUGUCGGGGCUCAACCCCGGCCUGCCGUUGAAACUGUCCUGCUAGAGUUCGAGUGAGGUAUGCGGAAUGCGUUGUGUAGCGGUGAAAUGCAUAGAUAUGACGCAGAACUCCGAUUGCGAAGGCAGCAUACCAACUCGCGACUGACGCUGAGGCUCGAAAGCGUGGGUAUCGAACAGGAUUAGAUACCCUGGUAGUCCACGCAGUAAACGAUGAAUACUAACUGUUCGGAGGGCGACCUCUGAGUGGUAAAGCGAAAGCGUUAAGUAUUCCACCUGGGGAGUACGCCGGCAACGGUGAAACU
rnacentral:rRNA from 1 species